AACGAACGCUGGCGGCAUGCCUAACACAUGCAAGUCGAACGAGACCUUCGGGGCUAGUGGCGCACGGGUGCGUAACGCGUGGGAACCUGCCCUUAGGUUCGGAAUAACUCCCCGAAAGGGGUGCUAAUACCGGAUAAUGUCUUCGGACCAAAGAUUUAUCGCCUUUGGAUGGGCCCGCGUUGGAUUAGCUAGUUGGUAGGGUAAAAGCCUACCAAGGCGACGAUCCAUAGCUGGUCUGAGAGGAUGAUCAGCCACACUGGGACUGAGACACGGCCCAGACUCCUACGGGAGGCAGCAGUGGGGAAUAUUGGACAAUGGGCGAAAGCCUGAGCCAGCAAUGCCGCGUGAGUGAUGAAGGCCUUAGGGUUGUAAAGCUCUUUUACCCGGGAUGAUAAUGACAGUACCGUGAGAAUAAGCUCCGGCUAACUCCGUG
rnacentral:rRNA from 1 species